AUGGAUCCCAUCAUGAAGCUCCUCGAGGACGACGAAGAGGAUGAGAGCAUGCACUCGGGCGCCGACGUCGAGGCCUUCACGGCGGCGCUGAACCGCGAGGUGGAGGGCAGCGCCAGCAGCAGCAGCAGUGCCGCCGCUGCCUUCUCCUUCCAGCCGCUGGAUCACGCCGCUGGUACAUUACCUCAGAAAAGCAACCCAGUAGUAAACAACAGUCAUGGACAGUGGCAAGGUUCAGUAAAGAAUGACAGUGGAAACCAGGAGAGCCAACAGCAGGAAGAAAAACAUUUAUAUUGCAAAAAAGAGCAGUCGUCCGGACCUGAAGCAGUUCCCAUAGGUGCUGAUAACAAACAACUUCACUCUAAUACUCAAAUUGAAUGUUUCCAGCUAAAGGUUAAGCGAGAGCCAGGAAACAAUGCUCAACAAAGCACUGUUGGUCAGCAGCAGCCUAUGCAACAAAUAAAGAGUCAACAACCACCAGGCACAAACCAAACCAAUAGUAGUCCAGCUAUGGUGGGAAAACCUCCUGUUGUUACAUUUCAUAUGCUAAUCCCGAUUUUGAGACGCUACCUUGACAAAGACAGGGAUAUACAAGUUCAGUCCAUUUUUGCAAAGUUACGGAAAAAUGAGGUCAGCAAGGAACAUUUUUUAAAGGUUAUUAGGACUAUUGUUGGUGAUAAGUUGCUCAAGCAAGCUGCUUCACAAUAUCAAAUGCAGGCUGCUCAGGCACAACGGAAUCAAGUCCCAGGUCAGCAAAAUGAGAGUCCAAGACCGCCUCAAUUUCGACUGUCCUCAUCAGGCCAAAUGCAGAAUAACAUGGGUUAUGCAGCUUCAGAAGGCAACUUACAAAAGCCUAAUGAAACUGGUAACAUGUCAGAUAGGAAAGGGUUGCAGAUGCUACAUAGCCGUCCACCUAAUAUCCACUCAAUCCCACUGCAAGCAACCCAGGAUCAUGUGCAGCGUCCACAGACAUUUUUGCCAGCCUUAGGGGCAAAUAAUAUUCAUUCUCGUCAAUUUCCACAGUCAGUUGGAGGUCCAAUUGCACCACUUAGACCGCAGAUGACAGAUUCCAGUCAAAGAGGACAAUCAGUCCAGAGAGGUGUUGCCAGUGUUCUUGGCAGUGUGGCCACACGGCCAGCAUUGCAAAAUAAUCAACCUUCACAGCAACAACCAAACAAGGAGCAGAAAACUAAUUCUUUCACUCCAACAGUACAUAUGAACAAAGACAAUGCUAACCAACCCUCUGAAUCUGCACAGAGCUCUUUUGCCGCCUUGAAUGCGAAACAAGUCAACCCAGGCCUUCUAUCUUCAAAGGUUGGUGGUGUUUUGGAAAAUCAAUCAUCUACGUUGGCCACUCCUAAAUCUUUGACAACAACAAGCUCAAGUCAACCUCAUCCAUCUUAUGGAACUCCAGCAGAACUUAACAUGCAGAUUCAACCUAGUACUCAAGCACCUCCUUCUGGAGCAGCUUCCAAAACACCUCAAAAGAAGCCAUCUGCUGGGCAGAAGAAACCUUUGGAAGCAAUUGGCUCAUCUCCUCCACCAUCUGGCAAAAAGCAGAAGGGAUCUGGAGGCUUCCAUGAUCAAAGCAUUGACCAGCUGAAUGAUGUUACUGCAGUUAGUGGUGUUAAUCUGAGGGAAGAGGAGGAGCAACUUUUCUCUGCUCCUAAGGAAGAGAGUCGAGUUUCAGAAGCUGCUCGUAAAGUUGUACAACUAGAAGAAGAAAGGCUCAUUCUACAGAAGGGGCCUCUGACAAAGAAAUUAGCAGAGAUCAUGAGAAAAUAUAAUCUGAAGAGCAUAGGAUGUGACGUAGAGCGUUGUCUAUCGAUGUGCGUUGAGGAGCGGUUACGAGGAUUCAUAAGCAAUACAAUAAGGCUUUCAAAACAGAGGGUUGAUGUUGAAAAAUCAAGACAUCAUUAUUAUCCUUUAUCUUCGGAUGUUCGGAGUCAUAUACUGAGGGUGAACCGGGAAGCUAGAGAACAGUGGGACAGGAAGCUGGCGGCAGAUGCCAACAGAAUCAGGAAACAGAGUGAUGGAGAUGACAAUUCAGUUGUUUCUUCAGAAAAGGACAAGGCUGAGAGCCGUGGAACAUCAAAGCAUGCUAAGACUUACAAGGAGGAAGAUGAUAAAAUGAGAACAACAGCUGCAAAUGCUGCUGUGCGAGUUGCAGCAGGGGGAGAUGACAUGCUUUCAAAGUGGCAAUUGCUAGCUGAAAAAAAUAAACUGAGAGGUGAAGGAGGCGAUGGUUCUUCUGACUCACUGCCAGGUACCAUGUCGCCUCACAAGCUUUCACCAAAAGCUGGAAAGGGCUCAAGAGAACAGCAGGAAAUUGAAAAGCGAGGCUAUUUUUCAAUGCUUGGUCCUGGUGGCGUUAGAAGGUCAGCACACAUGAAAGUGGCGCGUAGCAUCAUGGUGAAGGAUGUGGUUGCGGCACUUGAGAGAGAGCAUCAGAUGUCAAAAUCGUCUUUGCUAUUCCGGUUACACGGGAGCCAGCUGACAGAACCAGCUUCGAAAUAG
rnacentral:rRNA from 1 species